GGAGGAUGCUGGUGAGAGAGAUGGCAAUGUUAAACACACAGAUUUUCACAAUGGAGCAGCCCAUUAUCAUCAGUUUCACUCCUGCUAGGAGGAUGGUAUGGGAGGAACUGUCCUCUCAAAAUGAACAGUAUGUGGAUGAGGAGGUUGGGCAGCGG